GACGAGGGCGCGAGCGUUGUCCGGAUUUAUUGGGCGUAAAGAGCUCGUAGGCGGCUUGUUGCGUCGACUGUGAAAACCCGCGGCUUAACUGCGGGCUUGCAGUUGAUACGGGCAGGCUAGAGUUCGGUAGGGGAGACUGGAAUUCCUGGUGUAGCGGUGAAAUGCGCAGAUAUCAGGAGGAACACCGAUGGCGAAGGCAGGUCUCUGGGCCGAUACUGACGCUGAGGAGCGAAGCCAGGGGAGCAAACGGG
rnacentral:rRNA from 1 species